rnacentral:tRNA from 2 species
AAGCGAGUAAGUUAAAUUAAACUACGGGGUUCAUGUCCCCGCAUUAUGAUGUGAGUCAUUUCGCUGA